AGGGAAAGAGCUUGCUCUUUCCGGAAUUGAGUGGCAAACGGGUGAGUAACACGUAAACAACCUGCCUUCAGGAUGGGGACAACAGACGGAAACGACUGCUAAUACCGAAUAAGUUCCAAGAGCCGCAUGGCCCAUGGAAGAAAAGGUGGCCUCUACCUGUAAGCUAUCGCCUGAAGAGGGGUUUGCGUCUGAUUAGCUAGUUGGUGGGGUAACGGCCUACCAAGGCAACGAUCAGUAGCCGGACUGAGAGGUUAAACGGCCACAUUGGUACUGAGACACGGUCCAAACUCC
rnacentral:rRNA from 1 species